rnacentral:tRNA from 1 species
GUGGUUGUAGUUCAAUGGUAGAAAGCUUCCCUGGCAUGUAUGAGGCACUGGGUUUGAUCCUCAGCACCACA